rnacentral:rRNA from 1 species
UACGGGGGGGGCAAGCGUUGUUCGGAAUUACUGGGCGUAAAGGGCUCGUAGGCGGCCAACUAAGUCGGAUGUGAAAUCCCCAGGCUUAACCUGGGAACUGCAUCCGAUACUGGAUGGCUUGAAUCCGGGAGAGGGAUGCGGAAUUCCAGGUGUAGCGGUGAAAUGCGUAGAUAUCUGGAGGAACACCGGUGGCGAAGGCGGCAUCCUGGACCGGUAUUGACGCUGAGGCGCGAAAGCUAGGGGAGCAAACGGG